GUCAUACUUUAGUAAUAAGAAAUUAACAGCAAUCUAACGCGCCAGCAGCAUUACGUGUGGUGAAAUAUUUCAAUAGAUACCACUAUCUGUGCGUUAAACUAGCGAAACAUUACUACUAAACAGGGAUUAGAGACCCCUUUAUACAAAUGCUCAUGGUAUUUUGCGGAGGACUACAACUAUCGGAGUUAAAACUUAAACAACAUGGCGGUAAUUUUAACUUAGGGGAACUUACUGAAUCAUUGAUAACCACCAAGGUUAAUCAACUUCACAAAAAUCUUGUAUGCCGUCGUCGUCAGGUAGCACUUGAGGUUCUACCUUAAUAGUAUAUCUUAAAAGACAGAUCAAGGUGCAGACGAUUGUGAAGCUCUGGCGAGUUACAGUUUCUACUAUUAACGGAUAUAUAUAAUGUAAACACAUUGAAGACGGACUUAACAGUAAUAAAUAUUAUCUUUACUUUAUAAGCUAU
rnacentral:rRNA from 1 species